CUCAGGCUCUCAGAUCUGGAUUGGCUCUCGGGUCUUGGAAUUAUACCACUGGCUUUCCUGGGUCUCCAGCUUACAGACAGCAAGUCGUGGAACUGCGUAGCUUCUGUAAUCAGGAGAGUCAAUACCCUAUAAUGAGAACCCUGGAGACUAGCACCUGUUUGCUGAGCAAUGAAUGCCCCCACUGCCUUCAGAUGCUUCCUUCCACAAACAGCUUCUUGAUUAAUCUCUUCUGAUGUUACCACCACCUCUCAUCCAAAGGAAUGAAUAGGAGGAUGCACUGAGAAAUCAGGAGGCCAACGAGCCUGGCAAGACAUCCAGGACCAACUAUGUAAUUUGCAGAGCCCAGUGCAACAUGAAAAGGUAGGGUCCUUGUUCAAAAAGCAGGAAAGUGCUAUUAAAAAUAUC